UGGGGAAUUUUGGGCAAUGGGCGAAAGCCUGACCCAGCAACGCCGCGUGAAGGAUGAAGUAUUUCGGUAUGUAAACUUCGAAAGAAUAGGAAGAAUAAAUGACGGUACUAUUUAUAAGGUCCGGCUAACUACGUGCCAGCAGCCGCGGUAAUACGUAGGGACCAAGCGUUGUUCGGAUUUACUGGGCGUAAAGGGCGCGUAGGCGGCAAUUCAAGUCAUCUGUGAAAUCUCCGGGCUUAACUCGGAACGGUCAGAUGAUACUGCUUUGCUAGAGUGCAGAAGGGGCAAUCGGAAUUCUUGGUGUAGCGGUGAAAUGCGUAGAUAUCAAGAGGAACACCUGAGGUGAAGACGGGUUGCUGGGCUGACACUGACGCUGAGGCGCGAAAGCCAGGGGAGCAAACGGGAUUAGAUACCCAAGUAGUCCCUG
rnacentral:rRNA from 1 species